UAGCAGAAUACUUGCCCCUUCAUAUUCCAAACCAGCCUCCCGCUUUCUGUAAAAGAUAGACAGGAACAUGGGCAGGAUGUUUAUACUGCAGAAUGUAAACAUUUUCCCUGGCCUUCUUUAAAUAAAAAAUCAAGCAAAAGCCCCGUUAGAUCAGCUAAUACUCAAUCUGACGCGAUAUGUCCGUGUGUUCGCUGCGUCUUGUGGGGAUGCAGGACAUUUUUACGCAUGAAUAUUGUUUGUGUAACGCAGUCAUAAUAUUUACGCAGGGACGCAGGAGGAGUGAACAGCGAACAUGCCGAACUGUGAGCGCAGAAACUCGGACUGGGACCUGAGAUGGAGGCAGGCAGUUGUACCAUCGAAUGAUCCGGGAUAUAAAGUUGGAGUGGGCAGGCCUGCGGCUUUGGCCACAGGAAGCUGCGAAUUCUUAGCAGAAUGGAAGAUGUCUUAUGGGGAGACAUACUGGCCCCCCCACCUACCCACUCACCACCUCAAAACGACCCCUGACCCCUCCUUGUGUUUAUAUCAGACCAUGGAAGUGAGAAAUAGUGAUGAGUCACUCUGGCUGUGUGUUUAUACUCCGGAGUCACGCAAGGAAGGAAAUCAGCCACGGUCUGCUAAAAGUGGCGAGGUGACAGAGAAUAGCUGCAGUCCCUGAGCGCUGCUGUGAUUUACCUCUGCACAACCAGAAUUCAUUUCACCUCGUCUCUGCUGCAAAGACUUUGAACCAGGAGGAAAUCAGGGCUGUGGACUGUUGUCAAGGAAAAGGCGAAUCCAAUGGAAGUCAAUUAGGUUACUGUGUUACUGAGUUACAUUUACAGUAAGUAAGUGCAUCAAUGUCAUACUCAAUAUUAUUCAUCAAGAAAAUUAUCUGUACAUUGAAUUUGACUAAAGUCUUGAUAAUCAAGGCAGGAAAACGCACAGAAAACUGUCAGAGGGAAAACAUGUAUCUCCACACAUUCCAUGAUUGUUAUUAUUUCUUUAUUUUAAACAAAACAGUUUUUCAGCUCACUACUGAAUUAAUCUUGAAUUGCAGAAUGUUUCUCAACUAAAGGGAGGGUAUCUAUCAAAUACAACAUUUUAAAUCACAAGGUUGUCACACUGUAGCAAUGAUACUGCACGUAACUUUGUUUAAAAAAGACGUAAAUCCACUCAGGUUCUGCACUGAUUAUAUAUUUUGUUCAACAUAAAUACUCCAAGUUGAAUUUUGUUUAAAAUUCAACUUGGAGUAAUAAUGAUUUCAAAUACUUACUCAAAUACUCACCUUCCCAUGAUCUUAUUCAAAAGCAAAAUAGACAUAUCUGAUAUUCUAUGUCUGACAUUAUGUUUAUUACCGGUAUAUGUAUAGCUCAAGCUAAAUCAUAUUUAAGAAAAGUUUAUAUAACUAGUUUAGUUUUUAAUAUGAUGGUUUAUAUUUUAUUUAAAUGGGUUUUAUGGAAUGGUUCCAAACACUUCAUUGAUAAGUGUUAUUAUGAAAAAGAUUUUAUAAAAGGAGCAAACACAUUUAAGUUUGUAGAGAUCCUGAAACAAUGCAAUUAAAAUAAAAUAAAGGCUUUUUUCCGAUGAAUUAGACACUAUAUUUAAGAAAUAGACAUGGUGUUUCAAACCAGUGGUUCUCAAAUGGAGGUCCGUGAUAGCCAGGGAAUCUGUGAAAAGAUUCCAGAUUCAUUAACCAAAGUUAUCAUGAUCAUGUGUAUUCUGAGUUCUGUAUUUUUAAUACUAUUGUUGUUCGUUUACAUAACUUAGUGUAAAAACAUAGGCUUUGUCAAAUUAUUCCAAGGGUCCUCCAUGAGGGUCUUCCACGUUCUUUGGUUGAAAAAAAAAGGAGAAUCUCUGCCAUCUGACAUUACAUUUUCAUCAUCUUAAUAAUAAACAUAAAGCAACAGUUAGUGCAUUGGUUUAUAUUGAAAAUAAUGGAUAUACCUCGUAGGUUUAAUAGAUUCUUUAUAUUAUAAAGGGAAUUUUUGUGUUAUAAAAUGUGUUUAUUAUAUACGUGAGUGACUGGUCGUAUAGUAUCACCGCUGCAUGAUCCACACUGGACACGUUGCGUGGCGCUCUGCAGGACGUGAUGCUCCAUGUUCUGUAAGGUGUGUUUACUGAGGCCUCGUCCAAUGUUUCAAACAUGCUGUCAUUGUUGUCCUCCCCCACGAGCCACUUUCAGAUUGCACAACUGUUGUUUUCUUGAGGGACAGCAGCUGUAGUCACUGCAGCUACGCUCUGUAAAUAAAAGUGACACCUUAUGUCUUCCCGUCAUUACACUGGUGCAAGUAACCUCAUUGCCGAGUGUAUAGCGAGUAUCCUGUUACCCACCCCCAUACACACCGCCACAAUGAGAGAGUCAGCGGCUCUUAUUUUGGCUGAUCUCUCCUGAAUUGUAAGUCCUGUCAGUGGCUUUGAUUGAUAGUUGUGUUUAUCACCAUAUUAUUAAGUAAUCAGGCUCACCACAGCCGGGCCUGAAGCUCCUUAAUUCCAGUUGAAGCACACGGCUUCGAGCUAAUUAAAGGUUUGGUCAAAGUGUUUAUUUUCAUGAAUUUUUAAAAUACAGUUGUCUGUGCUUUUAUGAGAGUGCACUGAUUGUUGCAUUUGUAUCCUCUCUAGUACCAAACCUUUACUGUUGUGUCCUCUUCAGACAGAUCAUGGACUAAAAAAAUCUUGCCUUUCACGAAUGUGCUUUUUCACAUUUAACCGGCAAAAUGAUGAAUAAUGUUCAUACAACACAGCGUAUAACACAAGGGGGGUCAAUCAGCCUACGUUGUGUGUAUCAGAGGAGGUUUCUUCUCGCUUCGUUAAUAGAGCCUGCGGCAGGCUGCAUUUGUGUAUUCCUGAGGUAAACACAGUCAUGGCAAAGUGGACAUGCUGCUAAGUGUGUCCUGACUGGAGACAGAGAGCACUGUGGCACUGUACUGACGGCAGACACUGGCUGCUCUCUAGAUGCGGGGUUCAUGUGAUGAAUGGCCAUUUGGUAAUGGGCCAUGUACUGUAUUAGGGUGAAAUAGCUCUUUGAAAAGCCAGAGCUGGAGCCACAGCUAUGGGCAAUUUGAUUCAGGAAUCGGUCAGGUGGCAGGUGUUUCAUGUCGGAUCAGUCAGCUUGCCCUCGCGCUCUCUUUUAACUCGAUGAAGGGAAAAAGAUGUAAAACCGCACAUGGGAAAUAAAAACAUAACUAUAAAUUAUACUGCAGUCAUAAUUUUCAUUCAUGUCUUUGAUGUUUAAGUCUUCUGAAAUGUACUGUAUAAACAGGUUGAUUCUUCUAGAAAUGAACAUAAAUAUCUGUACCACUCCGAGCGGUGUGUUCUCUCCUGUGUCGACAGCGCUGUUCUUGCUUUCUCUUCAAACCAGUGUCAGUCAGUGGGAUUGUAAACUAUCAAUGUAUUCCAGCAGUGGUUAUUACUAGUUUUACACAAGCUUGAAUUGCAGUAAUACAAAUACACCAGUCUGUUUGUCCUGUACAUGUUCUGAUGUAAAUUUUAUUAAAUAAAACUGCAUAAUGUGGAAAUGAUUUUUCAUACAUCAUAAAAAUAAUAAAUGUGUUAAUGUAAUUAGGAGGUUUUGUGCAAUAAUUAUCCAAUUUUCCCCCAUGUUAUAGCUCAAGCCUAUUCCCAAAGAAAUAACUUUCCAUAAAAUAUUUUUUUUUGAUAUUUAAAGCAAUUUGGAAAUUUCUAUUUUGAAUUGUUUUACAAAUUUACAUCAAUAAAUUUCCAUUUAAUCCAA